CCUACGGGCGGCAGCAGUGGGGAAUAUUGGACAAUGGGGGGAACCCUGAUCCAGCCAUGCCGCGUGUGUGAAGAAGGCCCUCGGGUUGUAAAGCACUUGCAGUGAGGAAGAACGCCUGGUGGUUAAUACCCAUCAGGAAAGACAUCACUCACAGAAGAAGCACCGGCUAACUCCGUGCCAGCAGCCGCGGUAAUACGGAGGGUGCGAGCGUUAAUCGGAAUUACUGGGCGUAAAGCGCGCGUAGGUGGCUUGAUAAGCCGGUUGUGAAAGCCCCGGGCUCAACCUGGGAACGGCAUCCGGAACUGUCAAGCUAGAGUGCAGGAGAGGAAGGUAGAAUUCCCGGUGUAGCGGUGAAAUGCGUAGAGAUCGGGAGGAAUACCAGUGGCGAAGGCGGCCUUCUGGACUGACACUGACACUGAGGUGCGAAAGCGUGGGUAGCAAACAGGAUUAGAUACCCGGGUAGUC
rnacentral:rRNA from 1 species